AGCAAGUAUUAAGUUAUUCAUAACUUUGGGC
rnacentral:piRNA from 1 species